UUGGUUAAGUGUGCGCAGGCGGUUUGUAGUCUGAUGUGAAUCCCCGGGCUCAACCUGGGAAUUGCAUUGGAGACUGCAAGGCUAGAAUCUGGCAGAGGGGUAGGAAUUCCACGUGUAGCAGUGAAAUGCGUAGAUAUGUGGAGGAACACCGAUGGCGAAGGCAGCCCCCUCGGGUCAAGAUUGACGCUCAUGCACGAAAGCGUGGGGAGCAAACAGGAUUAGAUA
rnacentral:rRNA from 1 species